rnacentral:rRNA from 1 species
CUUUUAUUAGAGUAAGUAUAGGUCGUACCAGGGUUUCCGUAGGUGAACCUGCGGAAGGAUCAUUAUUGAAAUAAACCUGAUGGGUUGUUGCUGGCUCUCUAGGGAGCAUGUGCACGCCUUGUCAUCUUUAUAUCUCCACCUGUGCACCUUUUGUAGACCUUUCGGGGUCUAUGUUGCUUCAUUUUUCCACAAUGUAUGUUAAUAGAAUGUUGUGCCCUGUAUAAUAUAUACAACUUUCAGCAACGGAUCUCUUGGCUCUCGCAUCGAUGAAGAACGCAGCGAAAUGCGAUAAGUAAUGUGAAUUGCAGAAUUCAGUGAAUCAUCGAAUCUUUGAACGCACCUUGCGCUCCUUGGUAUUCCGAGGAGCAUGCCUGUUUGAGUGUCAUUAAUAUACAUAUAUCAAGCCUUCUCUUGUAGAAGGGUUUGGAUGUGGGGGUUUGCUGGCCUCUUAAUCUUAAGAGUUCAGCUCUCCUGAAAUGCAUUAGCAGAACAACCUUAUGUUCAUUGGUGUGAUAACUAUCUACGCUAUUGAAUGUUGAGGGGGAAGUUCAGCUUUCUAACGGUCCUUGGACAACUCAUCAUUAAUGUGACCUCAAAUCAGGUAGGACUACCCGCUGAACUUAAGCAUAUCAAUAAGCGGAGGAAAAGAAACUAACAAGGAUUCCCCUAGUAACUGCGAGUGAAGCGGGAAAAGCUCAAAUUUAAAAUCUGGCGGUUUUUUUGGCCGUCCGAGUUGUAAUCUAGAGAAGUGUUAUCCGCGCUGGACCGUGUACAAGUCUCCUGGAAUGGAGCAUCAUAGAGGGUGAGAAUCCCGUCUUUGACAUGGACUGCCAGGGCUUUGUGAUGCGCUCUCAAAGAGUCGAGUUGUUUGGGAAUGCAGCUCAAAAUGGGUGGUAAAUUCCAUCUAAAGCUAAAUAUUGGCGAGAGACCGAUAGCGAACCAGUACCGUGAGGGAAAGAUGAAAGAACUU